rnacentral:rRNA from 1 species
UACAGAGGGUGCGAGCGUUAAUCGGAAUUACUGGGCGUAAAGCGUGCGUAGACGGUAGCGUAAGUCAGAUGUGAAAGCCCCGGGCUCAACCUGGGAAUUGCAUUUGAGACUGCUCUGCUCGGGUGCGGAAGAGGGAAGCGGGAAUUUCCGGUGUAGCGGUGAAAUGCGUAGAUAUCGGAAGGAACACCAGUGGCGAAAGCACUCUGCUGGGCCGACACUGACACUGAGAGACGAAAGCUAGGGGAGCGAAUGGG